AGAGUUUGAUCCUGGCUCAGAUUGAACGCUGGCGGCAGGCCUAACACAUGCAAGUCGAGCGCGAAAGCACUUCGGUGUGAGUAGAGCGGCGGACGGGUGAGUAACGCGUAGGAAUCUACCCAGUAGUGGGGGACAACUCGGGGAAACUCGAGCUAAUACCGCAUACGCCCUACGGGGGAAAGCGGGGGACCUCCGGGCCUCGUGCUAUUGGAAGAGCUUGCGUUGGAUUAGCUUGUUGGUGAGGUAACGGCUCACCAAGGCGACGAUCCAUAGCUGGUCUGAGAGGAUGAUCAGCCACACCGGGACUGAGACACGGCCCGGACUCCUACGGGAGGCAGCAGUGGGGAAUAUUGCGCAAUGGGCGAAAGCCUGACGCAGCCAUGCCGCGUGUGUGAAGAAGGCCUUCGGGUUGUAAAGCACUUUCACUUGGGAAGAAAAGCUCGUAGCUAAUAUCUGCGAGCCGUGACAUUACCUUGAGAAGAAGCACCGGCUAACUCCGUGCCAGCAGCCGCGGUAAUACGGAGGGUGCGAGCGUUAAUCGGAAUUACUGGGCGUAAAGCGCGCGUAGGCGGUUUGUUAAGUCGGAUGUGAAAGCCCCGGGCUCAACCUGGGAAUUGCACCCGAUACUGGCCGACUGGAGUGC
rnacentral:rRNA from 1 species